CAUGCAGAGCUCCAGAUAAGAAUUCACAAAUUGGGGUUUUUACCCACCAUUUUCUUAUGUAAUUGGGUGAUUAAGUUUUUUAUUGCAUUAUCAAUUCAAAUUCACCCCUCAAGUUAAUAUCAAAUUGGGUUUUUCACCACCAAGCUCCUUAAUGUAUUGGGUUUUUACAUCAACACAAUAUUGAAUAUUUAGGCAAUAUCAACCCCAGAUGUUUUUCCAUCUUAAAUACGUUUCUUUCUUUGUAUACGUGCUAGCUAUUUUAUUUGGUUUAUUCACUGAAGAGCAAUUGUAGGUUUAAUUUGUGUCCAGUUUCAAACCUUCUGCUAGUUUUGUAUUUUCUCACAACUUAUAUAAACUGUAAAAAAUGGAUAUGUGUUUUCACAGGCACUCAUCUCAGAAUUUUUUAUCACUCAUUAACAGUAAAAUGAAAAAAAAUAGUAUAUAAACUCUAACUAUACUUGAAUGUUUUUGUUUUAUUCAAUUUACAUAAAUCUGGGUUAAGUGAUCCCUUAUUAGAACUUUUGGUUUCCGAUGCUUUCCAACUACAUAUCAUGAUUUGGCCUUUCACUUUUUCCAACUGAGUUUGUUUUUGACGAAACCCCGUGUUUAUUAGCAAUGUUCUCGUUAAGUUACGCAAACACGCCCGUGCGUUAGACGGACGCUUCCUAAAAUCACUGGCUGAGUCUUGUUAUCAUCAUAACUUUCCCUCAGCUAUUCAAAAGAAGCUGAAAACAUGCUUCUAUUCAAUAUUUUUACCGGACAUUCACUUUCGUUUUAAAUCAAUGUAUGUUAUGAUAAAUCCCGAGCAAUUCGAAAAAAAUAUGUCAAAAUGACACACGCUCAUUGGAUAAACGCCGAGAAGAUCGAAAUGUUUUCAAAAACAUGUGUACCUUUGGGCAACGGAAAAUUCCAGCAGGGACCCAUUUUAGCUACUUGAUGCAGGGAUCUAUUUUUAGAACAAAAGGACAUUUCCAAUUAUAAAUAUUAUACAAAUAGAUUUACGUGACGACUAAACAGAUAAGGGUAAAUAAUGAAAAUGGUAGCCAAUAAAAGGGUUGAGCACUCAUGGUUUUGGCAUAUGAUUGGGUUUUCCUUUGAACUAAUUGGGUUCUUGAACCCUGCAAUGGGCAAUUGCAUUGGGUUUUUUAUCAUUUGUAUUGCGUCAUCACGCAAAUACGCAGCUUAUCUGGAGCUCUGUACAUGUA
rnacentral:lncRNA from 1 species